rnacentral:miRNA from 1 species
UGAGGCAGGAGAAUUGCUUGAACCCAGGAGGUGGAGGUUGCAGUGAGCCGAGAUCGUGCCACUGCACUCCAGCCUGGGCGACAGAGCUAGAAUCCGUCU